AGAGCAGACAAAAUAUGGGGCCCCUGGCGCUUAAAGUUCAGUUUGUCUCUCUUGAGCUUGGAGAAAAUCAUCCGUAGUGCCUCCCCGGGGGACACGUAGAGGAGAGAAAAGCGACCAAGAUAAAAGUGGACAGAAGAAUAAGCGAGACUUGUUAUCCAUGAAACAGUCUCCUGCCCUCGCUCCGGAAGAGCGCUACCGCAGAGCCGGGUCCCCAAAGCCGGUCUUGAGAGCUGAUGACAAUAACAUGGGCAAUGGCUGCUCUCAGAAGCUGGCGACUGCUAACCUCCUCCGGUUCCUAUUGCUGGUCCUGAUUCCAUGUAUCUGUGCUCUCGUUCUCUUGCUGGUGAUCCUGCUUUCCUAUGUUGGAACAUUACAAAAGGUCUAUUUUAAAUCAAAUGGGAGUGAACCUUUGGUCACUGAUGGUGAAAUCCAAGGGUCCGAUGUUAUUCUUACAAAUACAAUUUAUAACCAGAGCACUGUGGUGUCUACUGCACAUCCCGACCAACACGUUCCAGCCUGGACUACGGAUGCUUCUCUCCCAGGGGACCAAAGUCACAGGAAUACAAGUGCCUGUAUGAACAUCACCCACAGCCAGUGUCAGAUGCUGCCCUACCACGCCACGCUGACACCUCUCCUCUCAGUUGUCAGAAACAUGGAAAUGGAAAAGUUCCUCAAGUUUUUCACAUAUCUCCAUCGCCUCAGUUGCUAUCAACAUAUCAUGCUGUUUGGCUGUAGCCUCGCCUUCCCUGAGUGCGUCAUUGAUGGCGAUGACAGUCAUGGACUCCUGCCCUGUAGGUCCUUCUGUGAGGCUGCAAAAGAAGGCUGUGAAUCAGUCCUGGGGAUGGUGAAUUACUCCUGGCCGGAUUUCCUCAGAUGCUCCCAGUUUAGAAACCAAACUGAAAGCAGCAAUGUCAGCAGAAUUUGCUUCUCACCUCAGCAGGAAAACGGAAAGCAAUUGCUCUGUGGAAGGGGUGAGAACUUUCUGUGUGCCAGUGGAAUCUGCAUCCCCAGGAAACUGCAAUGUAAUGGCUACAACGACUGUGACGACUGGAGUGACGAGGCUCAUUGCAACUGCAGCGAGAAUCUGUUUCACUGUCACACAGGCAAGUGCCUUAAUUACAGCCUUGUGUGUGAUGGAUAUGAUGACUGUGGGGAUUUGAGUGAUGAGCAAAACUGUGGUAAGUAGCAUUGUUUCCCCAAAGGUUUUAAUUUAAAAUCAUAGAAAUUUAUAACCAAAAACUUACAGUUCAUUAUGUGUUAAUAUGAUUAGCAGUUUAAAUUACAAAAUGAUUGGUUUCUUGUUUUUUAGAAGGAGGAAGUUUGUUCAAUCACUGUCCUCAGUAAUGUCUUAUGUGUAAAUGUAAUACAUAAAGAAUCAUAUUAAGAAAAUGUUUAAGAAGUGGGAUGGGAAGACUGGUAAAGGUUGUUAAUGCAUUAAUAGUUUUUUUCCUCUCCUCAAAUGUGUUCUGUUUCUCCUCUGGUUAGAGCCAGUGGCUUACGUUAGAUUUGGGCUUUUGAGCAAACUUUGAGGGCAGAUAUAUUGUCUGUGCCUGAUUCCCUUGGUACAUGUGACUGAAGUCCCCUCCUUUAUUUAAUCCUCAAAUAGUACAGGGACCACCUGUUCAGCAGCUACACCCAGGGUUAGGAUGAUGCAUUUGUUUUGUGUACACAUGGUGAUCUUAUCUUUUAAAGAAUAACCCCACUUUUUAAAGAGUCAUGUCCAAUUCUGAAUGCCAUCUCAUGAAUUAAAAUCAGCUAAAUUCCUCUUGCUCAUUUACUUUUUUGGCUUUGUGACUAGCUUCAGAAUUUUUAGGUAGCAUAUUGUUGAGUGACGUAGGAACUUUGCAACAUGAACAAAAGGGAAAACUGGGAUGAGGAUACACCCUGGACAAAUGAUAUGAGACAAUGUCCCGCAUUAGAUAACAUCAAAAUGAAUGUUUGGGAAGGAUCAGCGGUAUGGUCAGAGGAAGGCAUUGGAAUCAUGAAUGUUAGGAAUAACCCCAUGCUGGGAAACCUGGUGGUUUCUAGGAGCGCUGUCUAGCUGCCACUUGCUGUAUCUGUAAAAAUAUUUUAAAAUGUAUGUGUACAAACCAUUCCUGUGUGACUAGAUAGAGGUGGGUUAUUGCUUUUUUCUGAUAAUAGUUUAUUUUUAUUUUAUUUUGACUAAAAUAGUUGUACAUAUUUAUUGAAUACAGCAUGAUAUUUUAAUACAUGUAUACAAUAUGUAAUGAUCAAAUCAGGGUAAUUAGUGUAUCCAUCACCUCAAACAUUUAUCAUUUCUUUGUAUUAGGAACAUUCAGAAUCUUCUCAUUUAGUUAUUUGAAAAUAUGCAAUAAAUUAUCAUUAACUAUAGUCACCAUCCAGUGCUAUAAAAACCUACAACUUGUUCCUCCUAUCUAGCUGUAAUUUUGUAUCAGUUAAACAAUCUCUGUCUCUCUCUCUUUUUUUUUUUUUUUUGAGAUGGAGUCUUGCUCCAUCACCCAGGCUGGAGUGCAGUGGCGCUAUCCCAGCUCACUGCAAUCUCCGCCUCCCGGGCUCAAGUGAUUCUCCUGCCUCAGCCUCCUGAAUAACUGGGACUACAGGUGUGUGCCACCACGCUCAGCUAAUUUUUGUAUUUUUAGUAGAGAUGGGGUUUCUUCAUGUUGGUCAGGCUGGUCUCUAACUCCUGAGCUCAUGAUUUGCCUGCCUCGGCCUCCCAAAGUGCUGGGAUUACAGGCAUGAGCCACCGCACCUGGCAGCAAUCUCUCUUUGUCCCUCCUCCUCCAUACCCUUCUGGCCUCUAGUAACCACUGUUCUACUCUCUAUUUCCAUGAGAUCAACUCUGCAUUUGAGUGAGGGCCUGUGGUAUUUCUGUUUCUAUGCCUGGCUUAUUUCACUAAACAGAAUGUCCUCCAGGCUCAUCCAUGUUGCUACAAAUAACAGGAUUUUAUUCUUUUGGCAUGGCUGAAUAGUAUUCCAUUGUGUAGAUGUACCAUAUUUUCUUCUCCACUCAUUUUUUGAUGGCAUAAAUUGAUUCCAUAUCAUGGUUAUUGUGAGUAGUGCUGCAGUGAAUGUGGGGGUGCAGAUGUCUGUUUGAUAUACUGAUUUCCUUUCCUUUGGGUAUAUGCCCAGUAGUGGGAUUGCUGGGUUAUAUGGAAGUUCUAUUUGUAGUUUUCUCAAGAACCUCCAUAUUGUUUUCCAUAAUGACUGUACUAAUUUACAUUUAGAUGCGGGUUAUAUCCUGGGACUGACUAGUCUUGAGAAAAAGGAUGAGAGGAUAUUGUAAUUAUAUAGAUCACAGAAAUUAUAGUUGCAGGAGGCCUUGGAGAUCAUCAGAUUCAACCCUUCCCUUUACCAGUGAGAUAAUUAGGAAAUGCAGGGGAUUGAAAAUGAGUGAGUGUCGUUUGGUAGUUGGAUAGGUUAGUGGAGAGGGCCAGCAUGCAGGUAGCAUGUGAGAAAAAAUGGUCUUAACAGGCAACAUAAUUCCUCUGAAGAUAGCAGGCUAUCGUGAAGUUUGUGUGUCUGGAUGCCAGUUGUCUCCAUCUAAUAGCAAUAAUUAUCACUUUCCUUCAGACCAGCCUCUGCCCUGGCUCCGUGUGCUCUUCUGGUUCCUGCCCAAGCACUUCUUAUGCUUUUCUUCUUUUCUCAAACCUAUGUCCUCCCUAUACUUUCCUCUGUUGAUCCAAAAUAUGCUUUAAGAUCCACGGUCACUCCGGAAGUCUGUCUAUGACCAUGGCACUGUUACUAGACUCAUCAUACUUUCUCAUGGAAUCUAUUAUUCAUGAAUCCACAUACAUCUUCUAAAACACUGCUUAUAUUCAGGGUAUACCACCUCUCAUGGCAAAGCAUCCUAUGGAUUCUGCCCUUUGUGAGAGCGAACUUAUCACUUAGUUCUUUUUCACUAAUAUAUAAAUUGGGACAAAGUUGAAGUCCAGGCUAAAAAGAAUCAUGAAUAUAACAUAAAUAUUUUGCAUGGCUUACCUAGCAGUUCUUUUGGAUAUAAGGCCAGGCAUGCUGGCAUAUUCCUUGUAGUCCCAACUACUUGGAGGCUGGGGUGGGAGGAUCACCUGAUCCUAGGAGGUUGAGGCUGCAGUGAGCUAUGAUCACACCACUGCACUCCAGCCUGGGAGAAAGAGAGAGACCUUGUCUCAAAAAAAAGAUAAUCAAUUAAAAACUUAAGCUUAGCAUCAGGAGAGAUGACAAGGAGAUACGUGCCUUCCCAAUUUGCCAGACAGGUAAGUUAUAAUUCCUAGAAACGUGAGAGAGCUGUUACAGAUACAUCAAAUCCGCUAGCUGCAUUGUGAAACACAAAUCACAGUUCUGUUUUUUGAACCAGGGUAGAAAUCAUAAAUUUUUCAUAAGGAAAGAAAAUGACAACUAAAGAAAACAAAAGCCAACAACAAUAAGAACAAACUACGGGUCCUGGGGCAGCUAGAGUAGUUACUUAUCUGAAAAACAGACCCAUCUUACCCCACAGUGAUGGUGGUCAGUGGGGCACAUGAGUGGGGAGGGCGUGGCAUUUUAAUUGGGCCAGACCUAUUGUAGAAAUGUUAUUGAAGGUAUUGGAGCCAUUGGAACAGACUCUCUUCGAUGGGAACUGGGAGCCAUAGAAUCCUGCCUGUUUGUCAUGCUGGUUCUCUGCAUCCUCGUGAGUUUUCAUUUCUCCAGAUUGCAAUCCCACAACAGAGCAUCGCUGCGGGGACGGGCGCUGCAUCGCCAUGGAGUGGGUGUGUGAUGGUGACCACGACUGUGUGGAUAAGUCCGACGAGGUCAACUGCUGUGAGUGCUCUGAGGACGUUUGUUUUGCUUAUUUUUCCAUUUCUGGUUCUUUAGGCUGUACUCAAGGUUGAGGACUGUACUUAAGACUCACUAUAUACACAGCAUUCCAAGGGAAAGAUUCUUAUGCUUUGGUUCUAGCCUGUAAAGAUCACUGAGUCACGGGAUGACAAUAGCAAUGGAGUGUAUCUGACUUCCACACCUCUCCCUGCAAAACUCCAAGCUUCAUUUGGCUGAUCUAGCCAAGUGGGUGUCUGUUUUCUCUCUCAUUGCUCCAUAUGUCUCUUUUAUGCUUCUGUGACUUUGUCAAAGGUGAUGCUCUGCCCACAGAAUGGGGAACCUUUCUUCUGCAAACAAUACAUAAGUAGUUAAGCUUCCCUGCAGGAGUUCCCUAACAUGUUUUCAGGGGCCAUUUGUGGAAGAACAUGGAAAGAAUCGUCAGAGAGAAGAGAGCCUUUAAUGUUCAUAUGAUGAUACAAAGAGAGCAUAAUAGGCCGGGCAUGGUGGCUCACGCCUGUAGUCCCAGCACUUUGGGAGGCAGAGAUGGGUAGAUGACCUGAGGUCAGGAGUUUGAGACCAGCCUGGCCAACAGUCUCUAGUAAAAAUACAAAAA
rnacentral:sRNA from 1 species